GGGUGUUAGGGUGAUCUGGCUGCACAUCUGUCACCCCAUUGAUCUCCAGGGUUGAUUCAGCUGAUCUGGCUGGCUAGGCGGGUGUCCCCUUCCUCCCUUCCUCCCUCACCACUCCAUGUGCGUCCCUCCCUAAGCUGUGUGCUGGGUUGAAGAGGAUGGCCUACCCUGAAUAGAGAUGAACUGGUCUUCAGUUGAGGGUAUGUGAGUAGCUGCGCUCCCCUGCUAGAACCUCCAAACAAGCUCUGAAGGAAGAUCCCACCUUUGAAGCAGCCUUCUCUAGAGUCACAUGAUGGUGUAGGGAAUGCUCCAAAGAAGGAGGAU
ensembl:misc_RNA 7SK 7SK RNA